CCUACGGGAGGCAGCAGUAAGGAAUAUUGGUCAAUGGACGCAAGUCUGAACCAGCCAUGCCGCGUGAAGGAUUAAGGUCCUCUGGAUUGUAAACUUCUUUUAUCUGGGACGAAAAAAGGCGAUUCUUCGUCACUUGACGGUACCAGAUGAAUAAGCACCGGCUAACUCCGUGCCAGCAGCCGCGGUAAUACGGAGGGUGCAAGCGUUAUCCGGAUUCACUGGGUUUAAAGGGUGCGUAGGCGGGCAGGUAAGUCAGUGGUGAAAUCCUAGAGCUUAACUCUAGAACUGCCAUUGAUACUAUCUGUCUUGAAUAUUGUGGAGGUAAGCGGAAUAUGUCAUGUAGCGGUGAAAUGCUUAGAUAUGACAUAGAACACCUAUUGCGAAGGCAGCUUACUACGCAUAUAUUGACGCUGAGGCACGAAAGCGUGGGGAUCAAACAGGAUUAGAUACCCUGGUAGUCCACGCCCUAAACGAUGAUUACUCGACAUUUGUGAUACACUAUAAGUGUNUGAGAGAAGANAUAAGUAAUACACCAGGAAGUACGACCGACGAGUUAGUAAACGUUAAAGUAAGUAGUAGACGAGAGAGAGCGACGGACGGACGACGACGGAGGGAGGAG
rnacentral:rRNA from 1 species